GAGGAUGAGUAAUAAAAAUAUUACAAACCGUAAUUCUAUCUAUAUUCCUAUAAAAGUAAGGUUUGAAGGAUAUAGAAAGAUUACUAUCCAUGCUUAUGUUGAUAUUGGGGCUUCAGUAUACACAUCAAGUAAAUGGAUUAUACCAAAACAAUUUUGGGUAACAUCUGAAAGAAUUCUGAAUCUUAAGAUUCUAGAAAAAUCUGAAGUUAAAACUUCUAAGGUAGUAAAAUGAUUGAAUAUUGAAAUUAAUGUUUAUCAUAAAUCCCAAUGAAAAACCUUUUAUUUCAAAAUACCUACAGUAUACCAACUUGAAAUUGGUAUUGAUUUUAUGAUUGGAAAUAAUUUUUGCCAAUUAUAUCAUCCAUUCAUUGAAGAAAUUGAAUCUAUUAGUUUUACUCUUAAUAGUAAAAGAUUUUGGAUUCCAAAACAAAGAAAAAUGGUAGCUAUGAAUACUUUGCAAGAAAGAUUCUUGAAUACAAUGAAGAUUGAUAACAAAAAGAAGGGUUCUAAGGCACUUCAAGGUGAAAAUAUUGCACAAAGAAGGUAUAUUUUUAUCACUAAUAAAGAAAAACAAGAAUUCAAAAUCAACUCUCAAAGAGAGGGGAUCUUAGAACUACUUGAAAAAUGUUGCUCAGAAAAUCCUUUAGAUCGUCAAAAGAGUAAAGGAAAUAUGACAGUAACUAUUGAAUUACUUGAUGAAUUUAAAACAUCUAUUGUUAGAGCUAAGGCAAUAGCUUAUAGCCCUAAAGAUAGAGAUGAAUUUUCAACACAAAUUAAAGAAUUGCUUGAACUAUAGGUUAUUGAACCCAGUAAAUGUCAAUUUUCUUCACCAGCCUUUAUGGUAAGAAAAGAAGCAAAAAAAAAGACGUGGAAAAGCUAGAAUGGCAGUUAACUAUUCUCAGCUUAAUAAAAUUACUAAGACAGAUGGAUAUUUAAUUCCAAAUAUGCAAAGUCUAUUACAACUAAUAAAAUGAAAAAAAUUAUUUUCAUCCUUUGAUUAUAAAUCCGACUUUUGGCAAGUAAUACUUAACUAAUAAGCAAGACAUCUUACAGCAUUUAGCUGUCCGCAAGGACAUUAUCAAUGGAAAGUGAUACCAUUUGGGCUAAAGCAAGCACCAGGUAUUUUCCAAAGACACGUGAACAAUAUUUUCAGAGAACAUAACAAAUAUUGUUGUGUAUAUAUUGAUGAUAUUUUAGUAUUUUCUGAAACAAAAAAUAAACAUGAAAAUCAUGUAAGUAAUGUUUAAAUGGAAGCUUACAAUACAUGAAUUGUGCUAUCUGAAAAGAAAGCAGAAUUGUUUAAGGAAAAAAUUGGAUACCUUGGGUUAGAUAUCGCAAAUGGCUAUAAACAACUUAAGCCCCAUAUCCUUACUCAUAUUCAAGAAUUUCCAAACAAAAUUCAAGAUUAAAAACAAUUGAUGAGAUUUCUUGGAUGUCUCACUUAUGCAGAAUCUUUUAUAAAAGAUUUAGGAAAAAUGAAAACACCACUCCAGAAAAAACUCAAAAAAGAUUUUAGAUGUAUUUCGACUAAAGAAGAUACUCUUUAUGUUGGAAAAAUUAAAUUUAAAAUAAAACUUUUGCCAUCAUUAUAUCAUCCCAAAGUAGGUGAUAAAAUGAUAAUUGAGACAGAUGCCUCUCAAGAACAUUGGGAAGCAGCCUUGAAACCUCUUGAUCAACAAGAAAAAGAAGAAGAAAAAUUAUGUGGUUAAAAAGAAAUCUUAUCUAUGAAAAAAGCAAUAACAAAAUUCAGACUGUAUAUAAUUUCUGAUAAAUUCAUUGUUAGAACUGAUUCAAGUACUUGUAAUUCAUUCUUAAAAAGCCAGGUACAUCCAAACUACAAACAAGGAAGACUUGUAAGAUGGCAGAUGUGGUUCAGCCAUUAUGAUUUUUCAAUUGAAAUAAUAAAAGGAAAAAAUAAUUCUUUAGCUGAUACAUUAACAAGAGAAUUUGCUGUUGCAGGUUAAAAUGGCAAACAUAGUAGACCAAAUUGUUGAUUUCGAAAUUCUCUGUCA
rnacentral:lncRNA from 1 species